GGCUCAGGACGAACGCUGGCGGCAUGGAUUAGGCAUGCAAGUCGAACGGGCGCAGCAAUGCGUCAGUGGCGAAAGGGUGAGGAACACGUGAGUAACUUGCCCCAAGUUCGGAAUAGCUUUGGGAAACUGAAGAUAAUACCGGAUGUGGUUGUUCUGCUGCAUGGCAGGGCAACUAAAGGUUUACCGCUUGGGGAUAGGCUCGCGUCCCAUUAGCUAGUUGGUGAGGCAACGGCUCACCAAGGCGACGAUGGGUAGCUGGUCUGAGAGGAUGGUCAGCCACACUGGGACUGAGACACUGCCCAGACUCCUACGGGAGGCUGCAGUCGAGAAUCUUCCGCAAUGCGCGAAAGCGUGACGGAGCAAUGCCGCGUGCCGGAUGAAGGUCUUCGGAUUGUAAACGGCUGUCGACCGGGACGAAUGAAUGACGGUACCGGUAGAGGAAGCCACGGCUAACUACGUGCC
rnacentral:rRNA from 1 species